ACAGCAGUAGCCGCGGGAAUACGGAGGGUGCAAGCGUUAAUCGGAAUUACUGGGCGUAAAGCGCACGCAGGCGGUCUGUCAAGUCAGAUGUGAAAUCCCCGGGCUUAACCUGGGAACUGCAUUUGAAACUGGCAGGCUAGAGUCUUGUAGAGGGGGGUAGAAUUCCAGGUGUAGCGGUGAAAUGCGUAGAGAUCUGGAGGAAUACCGGUGGCGAAGGCGGCCCCCUGGACAAAGACUGACGCUCAGGUGCGAAAGCGUGGGGAGCAAACAGGAUUAGAUACCCCGGUAGUCCCUGUCUCUUAUAC
rnacentral:rRNA from 1 species